rnacentral:rRNA from 1 species
UACCAGCUCUCCGAGUGGUAGGGAUGAUUAUUGGGCUUAAAGCGCCCGUAGCCGGCUUAGCAAGUCUCCUGUUAAAUUCAGCGACCUAAUCGUUGAGCCGCGGGAGAUACUACUAGGCUGGGAGGCGGGAGAGGUCAACGGUACUUCCGGGGUAGGGGUGAAAUCCUAUAAUCCCGGGAGGACCACCAGUGGCGAAGGCUGUUGACUAGAACGCGCUCGACGGUGAGGGACGAAAGCUGGGGGAGCGAACCGGAUUAGAUACCCGGGUAGUCCCAGCUGUAAACGAUGCGAGCUAGGUGUUGGGGUGGCUACGUGCCACUUCAGUGCCGCAGUGAAGCUAUUAAGCUCGCCGCCUGGGGAUACGGCCGCAAGGCUAGAAACUUAAAGGAAUUGGCGGGGGAGCACCACAGGGCGUGAAGCUUGCGGUUC